CAACAUUUCAGUCCCUCUCUGAGACUUUCAUCAGGAUCAAUAAAUAUAUGGUAUUGAUCCUGAUGAAAGUCCCAGAGAGGGACUGAAACGUU
rnacentral:miRNA from 1 species